AGUGAACGCUGGCGGUAGGCCUAACACAUGCAAGUCGAACGGCAGCACAGUAAGAGCUUGCUCUUACGGGUGGCGAGUGGCGGACGGGUGAGGAAUACAUCGGAAUCUACUUUUUCGUGGGGGAUAACGUAGGGAAACUUACGCUAAUACCGCAUACGACCUACGGGUGAAAGCAGGGGAUCUUCGGACCUUGCGCGAUUGAAUGAGCCGAUGUCGGAUUAGCUAGUUGGCGGGGUAAAGGCCCACCAAGGCGACGAUCCGUAGCUGGUCUGAGAGGACGAUCAGCCACACUGGAACUGAGACACGGUCCAGACUCCUACGGGAGGCAGCAGUGGGGAAUAUUGGACAAUGGGCGCAAGCCUGAUCCAGCCAUACCGCGUGGGUGAAGAAGGCCUUCGGGUUGUAAAGCCCUUUUGUUGGGAAAGAAAAGCAGCAGGUUAAUACCCCGCUGUUCUGACAGUACCCAAAGAAUAAGCACCGGCUAACUUCGUG
rnacentral:rRNA from 1 species